AGUGAACGCUGGCGGUAGGCCUAACACAUGCAAGUCGAACGGCAGCACAGGAGAGCUUGCUCUCUGGGUGGCGAGUGGCGGACGGGGGAGGAAUACAUCGGAAUCUACUCUGUCGUGGGGGAUAACGUAGGGAAACUUACGCUAAUACCGCAUACGAGCUACGGGUGAAAGCAGGGGACCUUCGGGCCUUGCGCGAUUGAAUGAGCCGAUGUCGGAUUAGCUAGUUGGCGGGGUAAAGGCCCACCAAGGCGACGAUCCGUAGCUGGUCUGAGAGGAUGAUCAGCCACACUGGAACUGAGACACGGUCCAGACUCCUACGGGAGGCAGCAGUGGGGAAUAUUGGACAAUGGGCGCAAGCCUGAUCCAGCCAUACCGCGUGGGUGAAGAAGGCCUUCGGGUUGUAAAGCCCUUUUGUUGGGAAAGAAAUCCAGCUGGCUAAUACCCGGUUGGGACGACGGUACCCAAAGAAUAAGCACCGGCUAACUUCGUGCCAGCCGCCGCCGUAA
rnacentral:rRNA from 1 species